rnacentral:rRNA from 1 species
GACGAACGCUGGCGGCGCGCCUAACACAUGCAAGUCGAACGAGCGAGAGAGAGCUUGCUUUCUCGAGCGAUUGGCGAACGGGUGAGUAACGCGCGAGGAACCUGCCUCUAAGAGGGGGACAACAGUUGGAAACGACGGCUAACACCGCAUAAGCUCACGUCCCGGCAUUGGGUAGAGGGAAAAGGAGCAAUUUGCUUUGAGAUGGCGUCGCGUCCGAUUAGCUUGUUGGUGAGGUAACGGCACACCAAUGCGAGGAUCGGUAGCCGGACUGGGAGGUUGAGCGGCCACAUUGGCAGUGAGAAACAGCCCAGAAUCCUACGGGAGGGGGCAGUGGGGAACGGUGCACAAUGGGGGAAACCCUGAUGGUGCGAGGACGGGUGGAGGAAGAAGGUCGUGGGAAAGUAAACUCCUGUUGUCGAGGAAGAUAAUGACGGUACUCAACAAGGAAGCGACGGCUAACUACGUG